rnacentral:rRNA from 1 species
UACGUAGGGUGCAAGCGUUUGUCCGGAAUUAUUGGGCGUAAAGAGCUCGUAGGCGGUCUGUCGCGUCUGCUGUGAAAACUCGGGGCUUAACCCCGGGCCUGCAGUGGGUACGGGCAGACUAGAGUGCGGUAGGGGAGACUGGGAAUUCCUGGUGUAGCGGUGAAAUGCGCAGAUAUCAGGAGGAACACCGGUGGCGAAGGCGGGUCUCUGGGCCGUAACUGGACGCUGAGGAGCGAAAGCAUGGGGGAGCGAACAGG